rnacentral:rRNA from 1 species
AGCAGCCGCGGUAAUUCCAGCUCCAAUAGCGUAUAUUAAAGUUGUUGCAGUUAAAAGCUCGUAGUUGAAUUUCGGGACCAUCAUGUUGGUCGUGCCUCGGUACGUACUGGCAUUGUUGGUUUCUCCCUUCUGACGAACCAUGAUGUCAUUUAUUUGGUGUCGUGGGAAAUCAGGACUGUUACUUUGAAAAAUUAGAGUGUUUAAAGCAGGCUCACGCUUGAAUACAUUAGCAUGGAAUAAUGAAAUAGGACGUGCGGUUCUAUUUUGUUGGUUUCUAGAGUCGCCGUAAUGAUUAAUAGGGACAGUUGGGGGCAUUGGUAUUGAGUCGCUAGAGGUGAAAUUCUUGGAUUGACUCAAGACCGACUACUGCGAAAGCAUUUGCCAAGGAUGUUUUCAUUAAUCAAGAACGAGGGUUAGGGGAUCGAAGACGAUCAGAUACCGUCGUAGUCUUAACCAUAAACUAUGCCGACUAGGGAUCGGAUGAUGUUAAUUUUUUCAAUGACUCAUUCGGCG